rnacentral:lncRNA from 1 species
CUUCCUAAUAGCCGGUGGCUCGCAGAGUGAGUGUCAGAACAGGAAGCUGAGGCAGAAGCAGGGACUAUGCUGUAAGGCCCCUUUGUUAUUUUCCCCUUCCAGUGAGCCGAGAAUGAAUGUACGCUUUUAACAUCUCCUCUGCUUAGACAUCUCGACAGCUGCAUUAGCAAGACGAUCACCUUCCUUCUGCCUACCUAUGGACCCUGGCCCUCCUUGUGCUGAGACUUACAAUUCUCUUCCAGAGGCAGUGUAUGGAAUAUGAAGACUAACAAAAGGAUAGAAGACACAAUGUACUUGUACAAGCACUUUCUUAUGCAAGAAGCUAAACGGUAAUUAAAAGGUACAGGAUGAAAAGAUGGCACAAUCAGUGCUGGUACCACCAGGACCUGACAGCUUUCGCUACUUCACCAGGGAAUCCCUUGCUGCUAUUGAGCAACGUAUUGCAGAAGAAAAAGCUACAAAACCCAAACAAGGACGAAAGGAUGAGGAUGAUGAAAAUGGCCCCAAAGCAAAUAGUGAUUUGGAAGCAGGAAAAUCCCUCCCAUUUAUUUAUGGAGACAUUCCACCCGGAAUGGUGUCAGAGCCCUUGGAGGACCUGGAUCCAUACUAUAUCAAUAAAAAAACUUUUAUAGUAUUGAAUAAAGGGAAGGCAAUCUUCCGAUUCA